AGAGAUCAUGGCUCAGAAUCAACGCUGGCGGCGUGCCUCAGACAUGCAAGUCGAACGCGAAAGCUCCCUUCGGGGGGCAAGUAGAGUGGCGCACGGGUGAGUAACACGUAGGUAAUCUACCUUUGGAUGGGGAAUAACAACCGGAAACGGUUGCUAAUACCGCAUAAUGCAGCGGCACCUAAUGGUGACAGUUGUUAAAGCGGGGGAUCGAAAGACCUCGCGUCUGAAGAGGAGCCUGCGGCGGAUUAGCUAGUUGGUAAGGUAACGGCUUACCAAGGCGAUGAUCCGUAACCGGCCUGAGAGGGCGGUCGGUCACACUGACACUGACAUACGGGUCAGACUCCUACGGGAGGCAGCAGUCGGGAAUUCUGGGCAAUGGGCGAAAGCCUGACCCAGCAACGCCGCGUGAAGGAUGAAAUCCCUCGGGAUGUAAACUUCGCAAGAACAGGAAGAAUAAGUAAGGGUUAAUAUCCCUUGCGAUGACGGUACUGUUUGUAAGCUCCGGCUAACUCCGUGCCAGCAGCCGCGGUAAUACGGGGGGAGCAAGCGUUGUUCGGAUUUACUGGGCGUAAAGGGCGCGUAGGCGGCCACCGCAAGUCAGUUGUGAAAUCUCUGGGCUUAACCCAGAAAGGUCAACUGAUACUGCGGGGCUAGAGUGCAGAAGGGCAACUGGAAUUCUCGGUGUAGCGGUGAAAUGCGUAGAUAUCGAGAGGAACACCUGCGGCGAAGCGGGUUGCUGGGCUGACACUGACGCUGAGCGCGAAAGCUAGGGGAGCGAACGGGAUGAUACCCCGGUAGUCCUAGCCUUAAACGAGAAUGCUUGGUGUCUGGGGUUUUAUAGUCCCCGGG
rnacentral:rRNA from 1 species